AACACCAAGUUAACUGGGGCCUCAUGUACAAAGCUUGCGUACGCACAAAAAUGCUGCGUACGCCAUUUCUCACGCUCACGUCCGGAUGUACGGAGACUGACUUGAAUGUGAGAAUGUUUGCCCAGUGUUUUCCCUUCAUAUCUCUGAUAGUUUUCAUUUUAAAAGAAAUACAUAUGGGACAGGAUCAUGCAUGUGAAUAGAUAGGCUGACGAGUAAGCAUUCGCAUUAUUGUCACACUUGUGUGCAAAUAUAGGGAUAUGAUCCAGAAAUCGUAAUGUUGUGGCGAGGUGGCUUGGAUCAACUUAGUUUAAUCCAUUCGGGUGCACAUGC